rnacentral:rRNA from 1 species
GAUGAACGCUAGCGGCAGGCCUAAUACAUGCAAGUCGAGGGGCAGCGCGGUAGCAAUACUGGCGGCGACCGGCGCACGGGUGCGUAACACGUAUGCAACCUACCUUCAACUGGAGGAUAGCCCGGGGAAACUCGGAUUAAUACUCCAUAACACAGGGAUCCCGCAUGGGAAUAUUGUUAAAGCUACGGCGGUUGAAGAUGGGCAUGCGUUCGAUUAGCUAGUUGGUGUAGGUAACGGCUCACCAAGGCUACGAUCGAUAGGGGGUCUGAGAGGAUGAUCCCCCACACUGGUACUGAGAUACGGACCAGACUCCUACGGGAGGCAGCAGUAGGGAAUAUUGGUCAAUGGG